rnacentral:lncRNA from 1 species
UAGCAAGCAAUUUUCCUUUGCUCUUCCAGAAGUGCUGCAAUGUAAACGACUAGACAGCUUUAUCACUAACCCAAUUCUUCUGUAUAUUUUUAUCACUUUGAAUAUUGCAUUUUAAAGUACAUCAUCUUAGUCUGGUCUGGGGAUGCUAUAAAACCUUUAUCACACACAUAGGCAUGUCACCUAUAGAUACACCAUAAGUGGCUUAAGCAACAUUUAUUUAUUUCUCACAGUUAUGGAGUCUGGGAAGUCCGAGAUGAAGCUGCCUGCAGAUCCAGCGUCUGGUGUGGGUCCCCUUUCUGGUUUGUAGAUGAUAAUGACCACGUGGCAGAGAGCAGAGAGGGAGUAGCUCUCUUUCCCUUGUUAUGUGGACACUAAUCUCAUCAAAGGGGUUCCACCCUCACAAACAAUUUACUUCUAAAAGGUCCCACUUCCCAGUGCUAUCACAUUAGAACUUCAGCAUAUAAAUUUGGAGGAAACACAAGCAUUCAUUCCAUGGUACACCCCUUCUGCUUGUGGAACCAAGGAUGAUGUCAGCUGAAAAGACUUGAAGACUGCAGAUGAAUCAAAGGCAGGAGUGUCUCCAUGGCUGGGGAAAGAAAUCAUCUGAAGUCAUCUUCAUUCACAUGUUUAGCUGUUGAUACUGCCUGUUGUCAGGACUCUCAGCUGGGGCUGUCCCAUGGAAACUUAUGUAUGGCCUCUCCAUGUAGCCUGGGUUGCCUCACAGCAUGACGGCCUUGGACAUCUUACCUGGUGCUCAGGGCUCCAAAGGGGCUGGUGCUGUAUGCUUUUGGAUAGUAGAUGGAGGAAAACAAGAAAAAGUGGUCAUGGUGCAAUAGUCAUCUGAUACUUUCAACAUUUACCAUGGCUUCCAUUCGCUCUACAGACUCCAGAUGAACUCGGUUUUCCAAUAUCAACUCUACCAAUCCCUACCCUCCAGUACCAGGACGUUCAGCAUAGCUGAAGGAUGUCACAAAAUUAUGAUGUAGUAUUCUCUAUGUUUUUCUUAAGUUGUAACUUCACUUAAGUUUCAUAGGUACUUAGCAAUUUUUGUAUACUUCUUGCUGCAAGAAUCAUGGUGACUGUUUCAAGGAUCUUACAAUUUGCUUUUGCCAUUUAGUAUAGUCUGCCUUAUGUUUUAUGUGUGUGUGUUUGUAUGUGUAUAAUUUCUGACUACAUCCUAGAGCUUGGUCCUAAGUUUUAAUAAAUUUUUACAGCCUCUAAGUCCAUAUUUAUUUAACAAAUAUUUAUUGAAUAAAUUAUAUGUGUUAGACAUGUUAUAAACAUAAAGAA